UGGGGAAUUUUGGACAAUGGGGGCAACCCUGAUCCAGCCAUGCCGCGUGAGUGAAGAAGGCCUUCGGGUUGUAAAGCUCUUUCGGCCGGGAAGAAAUCGCAUGGGCUAAUACCCUGUGCGGAUGACGGUACCGGCAUAAGAAGCACCGGCUAACUACGUGCCAGCAGCCGCGGUAAUACGUAGGGUGCGAGCGUUAAUCGGAAUUACUGGGCGUAAAGCGUGCGCAGGCGGUUUUGUAAGACAGGCGUGAAAUCCCCGGGCUCAACCUGGGAAAUGCGUUUGUGACUGCAAGGCUAGAGUACGGCAGAGGGGGGUGGAAUUCCACGUGUAGCAGUGAAAUGCGUAGAGAUGUGGAGGAACACCAAUGGCGAAGGCAGCCCCCUGGGUCGAUACUGACGCUCAUGCACGAAAGCGUGGGUAGCA
rnacentral:rRNA from 1 species